rnacentral:rRNA from 1 species
UGGGGAAUUUUGGACAAUGGGCGAAAGCCUGAUCCAGCAAUGCCGCGUGUGUGAAGAAGGCCUUCGGGUUGUAAAGCACUUUUGUCCGGAAAGAAAUCCUUGGCUCUAAUACAGUCGGGGGAUGACGGUACCGGAAGAAUAAGCACCGGCUAACUACGUGCCAGCAGCCGCGGUAAUACGUAGGGUGCAAGCGUUAAUCGGAAUUACUGGGCGUAAAGCGUGCGCAGGCGGUUUGCUAAGACCGAUGUGAAAUCCCCGGGCUCAACCUGGGAACUGCAUUGGUGACUGGCAGGCUAGAGUAUGGCAGAGGGGGGUAGAAUUCCACGUGUAGCAGUGAAAUGCGUAGAGAUGUGGAGGAAUACCGAUGGCGAAGGCAGCCCCCUGGGCAAGUACUGACGCUCAUGCACGAAAAGCGUGGGGGAGCAAAACAGGAUUAGAUACCCUGGUAGUCCACGCCCUAAAACGAUGUCAACUAGUUGUUGGGGGAUUCAUUUCCUUAGUAACGUAGCUAACGCGUGAAGUUGACCGCCUGGGGGAGUACGGUCGCAAGAUUAAAAACUC